GACGAACGCUGGCGGCGUGCUUAACACAUGCAAGUCGAACGGAAAGGCCCUGCUUUUGUGGGGUGCUCGAGUGGCGAACGGGUGAGUAACACGUGAGUAACCUGCCCUUGACUUUGGGAUAACUUCAGGAAACUGGGGCUAAUACCGGAUAGGAGCUCCUGCUGCAUGGUGGGGGUUGGAAAGUUUCGGCGGUUGGGGAUGGACUCGCGGCUUAUCAGCUUGUUGGUGGGGUAGUGGCUUACCAAGGCUUUGACGGGUAGCCGGCCUGAGAGGGUGACCGGCCACAUUGGGACUGAGCUACGGCCCAGACUCCUACGGGAGGCAGCAGUGGGGAAUAUUGCACAAUGGGCGGAAGCCUUAUGCAGCAACGCCGCGUGCGGGAUGACGGCCUUCGGGUUGUAAACCGCUUUCGCCUGUGACGAAGCGUGAGUGACGGUAAUGGGUAAAGAAGCACCGGCUAACUACGUG
rnacentral:rRNA from 1 species